GAACAGAAAAACCGCCUCCAAAGGUGAUAUUGAGCUAUUCUCCGUCCCCACAUCGAGCUUGUGUCGAAUGAAUAAAACAUGCUGCAUAAAGUUCACUUUGCAUUUCUUAUGGUUACACUGUUCCCAAGAAUAUUCGCCUCUUACGUGGAACAGUCGCCUUCUGUUUUAUCGAUUGCAGCAGCAGAAUCGACAACACUGAAAUGUAAGCUGACGAAUACUAACUAUCCCAAUAUGCUUUGGUACAGACAACGACCAGAUCGGACAUUAGAAGCUCUAUUCAGUUCUGCUGGAGCUGGGAAUGUUAUGAAUUACACACUUGAGUCGUUUAAGGCCGAGAGAACCAAUAAUGCGCUGUUUACAAUGAAACUGAGUGACGCCUCUCCAUCUCACACCGCUGUCUACUUCUGUGCCUGUAGUAUCGCACAGCGUUUGAGAAAGAUGGAUUGCAGCUACAAAAAGCUGCAUGGGACCAACCGCAACUGCUCCAGUCUCUUCUACUGGAACCUGAUCAAUGCAUUUGUUUUGGAUACCUUCUAA